ACAGUCUUUUUUAAAAGCGCUCUGAAAACAAACACAGAGGCCGGACCGCCAGCUUUAGGACCUACACCACAGCUCUGGACACAGCAGGGAAGCUGGGAUUUUGAGGAUGUCAAGAUCUGGAUUAGCCGUACCAUGAGGAAGUCACAUGAAGAUUUUUUAGAUGCAGCGAACCAGCCAUCCUUCACCUCACAAACGUCCGGGAUAUGGGUCAAACAGGUGUCAUCCUGAAAGUAUUUGGACACAAUUGCAUCAGACCAAAAUGUAUUUUCUUUGCAUCAUUUACAGAAUAUAAAAACAAUUGGUAUUUUCUAACUUUUUUAAGGAUCUCACUUUCCUGUAACUUUUGUGCAUUUAUUUAUUCAUUUAUUAUAUAUUUUUUUCUUAUCAGUCACAAAGAGUUAAUAUCAACAGUAUAUCAUAUGAUUUUAACUCCAACUUGUCCUUGAAGUUCGCCGUUUGGUUCAUCUUUAAAACAAGUUCCAUUUAUGUCAUGCUUAUGAACGGCAAUUGUUUUAAAGAGUGGCUUAAAGUCUCCAUGUCUAUAUGGAAUCAGUGCACAUAUAGCUUGAUCUCACAAGAAAAUGCAAGUAUUUUUAUGUUUUGUCAAUUUAGUGGCUAAUUCUUAUGAUUUUUAAAGGGAUGCUCUGCACCCAACCCCAAUCCUAAACCCAACUGUCAUCGGGGGAUGAGCAAAUUGUACUAAAUUGUAUAAAUGAGAUCGUACAAUUGCACAUUUCAUAUGAAUUAGCCACUAAAUCAAAAAGUUACGAAUUGCUGUGAGAUUGUGUUGGCACAUUUCACAAAACCUCUAAAAAAUGCUGGGUACCACACAAAUAAUUUGUGAUGGGACAACAUAUUGGAAUUAAAUUUACAUUUUAGCUUUUACAAAUGUAAGU
rnacentral:lncRNA from 1 species